GAAAUGCGAUAAGUAGUGUGAAUUGCAGAAUUCAGUGAAUCAUCGAAUCUUUGAACGCACAUUGCGCCCCUUGGUAUUCCAUGGGGCAUGCCUGUUCGAGCGUCAUUUGUACCCUCAAGCUCUGCUUGGUGUUGGGUGUUUGUCCCGUCUCCGCGCGUGGACUCGCCCCAAAGUGAUUGGCAGCCGGCGUACUGGUCCCGGAGCGCAGCACAUGUCGCGCAAACGAGUGCCUUGGUACGGCGGCGUCCAUAAGUCCCUCUCUCACGCUCUUGACCUCGGAUCAGGUAGGGAUACCCGCUGAACUUAAGC
rnacentral:misc_RNA from 1 species